rnacentral:rRNA from 1 species
ACUCAAAUGAAUAGACGGGGGCCCGCACAAGCAGUGGAGUAUGUGGUUUAAUUCGAAGCAACGCGAAGAACCUUACCAGGUCUUGACAUCGAUUGAAAGCUAUAGAGAUAUAGCCCUCUCUUCGGAGACAUGAAGACAGGUGGUGCAUGGUUGUCGUCAGCUCGUGUCGUGAGAUGUUGGGUUAAGUCCCGCAACGAGCGCAACCCUUAUCAUUAGUUGCUACGCAAGAGCACUCUAGUGAGACUGCCGUUGACAAAACGGAGGAAGGUGGGGAUGACGUCAAAUCAUCAUGCCCCUUAUGACCUGGGCUACACACGUACUACAAUGGCCGUCAACAAAGUGAAGCAAAAUCGCGAGAUGGAGCAAAACACAAAAAACGGUCUCAGUUCGGAUCGCAGGCUGCAACCCGCCUGCGUGAAGUCGGAAUUGCUAGUAAUCGCAGAUCAGCAUGCUGCGGUGAAUACGUUCCCGGGCCUUGUACACACCGCCCGU